GGCCUAACCUAAUCACAUGGGGCCUUUGAAAACAGAGGAUUUUCUGUAGCUGGUAGCCAUGGCACAAAUCAGAGAUUGGAAGUAUUAGAAGGAUUUGAUGCCCUGUUGUUGGCUUGAUGAUAGAGGGGCCAGGUAGAAAGGACUUGAGAGCCAAUGGCCAACAAGGAAACUGGGCCUUCAAUCCUGCAACUGAGUCCUGCCAGUAAGGAUGAACUUGGGAGUAGGUUCUUCCCCAGAGCCUCCAGAUGGGAACUCAGCCCACCGAUGCCUUAAUUACAGCUUCAUGAGACCCUGAGCAAGGAGCCAGUCAUGCUGAGCCAGGCAGGGCCUCUGACCCAUAGAAUUGUGAGUUAGUAAAUGGGUGUUGUCUUAAGCCAUUAAAUUUGUGGUAAUUUGUUUUGCAACUUGAUUUUCUUGCUAAAUCUUAGGACUCAGAGCAAGUUUUUAAAUUUUUCUGGUCUUCAUUUUCAUUUGAAAGAGAAUUGGUAUGUUCUUUAAGGUACUUCCAGCUCAGAUGAUUCUAAGGUUCUUAAAACUGUGUUUUUAUAAAGAUGGAAAGAAAAUAGUACACAUGAAAGCACUUUAAUCUUGAGGAAACAUGUGAAUUGAGAAUAGUAAUCAAUCUAAUGAUGUUUCUAGUCAUCUGAUGCCCUCUUGGGAUUUUCUAGGACAGUUUCCCAUGAAAAGUAAUCUCAUGAAAAGCCCUAAAAGUAAUUUUAGGGCUACAGCUGUGGUCAUAUAGGGAAAAGAGACUUUCUGACUCCCCAGGGACUCCUCUCCACUGUGGCAGACUUCAAGGAGCACACAGAGGGAAGGACAUCCUCUAGCAUCUUGAAGAACCCAAGCUACAGGGUUGGAGGUGCAGUAGGAAUGAGGCGCAGCUCCAGCCUUGCAAUGUGAGAGGAUGGUGUCCAUAUGAAUAAGCCGAGACAACAAAGUGAUCAGAAGCUCCAGAGGAGGAAGAGAGGCUUUGUCAGAGGCAUCUGUGAGCUCGGAUUGGGUUUUGAAGGGAAGGGGUUUCCCAGCCACACUAGGUUGGAGCAGCACAGAGGCAACAGCACAUGUGAAGAUGUGGAUAAUAGCUGCUGAUCCUAAAGCCCAGCUCAAGGAUAGGUGUGUCCAGGUGCAAGCAUUGCAGCAUGCAUCAAAGGGUCUCAGGUUCCAGGCCUGACUUAUGAUCAAUCAUAGGGAAAUGAGGUCAGACAAAAAGCAAGUUUGAGUGAUUUUCUUCUUCAAGUUCAAAAUAGAUUGUAAAGGAGUGGAGAUAACACAACAUCAACAAUACCUCUGGCCCAGGGACUGCUAAUGAAUGUAUAGUGCAGAGGUGGUUCAAGAAGCUUUGCAAAGGAAACAAGAGCCUUGAAGAUGAGGAGCACAGUGGCUGGCCAUGGGAAGUUGACAACAACGAACUGAGAGGAUCAUCAAAGCUGAUCCUCUUACAAAGAAGUUGCCAAAGAACUCAAUGUCAACCAUCUUAUGGUCAUUCAGCAUCUGAUGCAAACUGGAAAGGUGAAAAAUCUCAGUAAGUGGGUGCCUCAUGAGCUGACUGAAAAUCAAAAACAUUGUCAUUUUGAAGUGACUUCUCUUAUUCUAUGCAACAACAAAGAACCAUUUCUCGAUUGGAUUGUGAUGUACAAUGAAAAGUGCACUUUAUACAACAACUGAUGAUGACCCUCUCAAUGCCUGGACUGAAAAGAAGCUCCAAAGCACUUCCCAAAGCCAAAUUUGCACCCAAAAAGGUCAUGGUCACUGUUUGGUGGUCUGCUGCCCAUCUGAUCCACUAAAGCUUUCUGAAUCCCAGUGAAACCAUUACAUCUGAGAAGUAUGCUCAGCAAAUCAAUGAGUCACACUGAAAACUAUAAUGCCUGCAGCCAGUAUUGGUCAACACAAGGGACCCAAUGCUUCUGCACCACAAUGCUCAACCACACAUUGCACAACCAGCACUUCAAAAGUUGAGUGAAUUGGGCUACGCAUUUUUGCCAUAUUCACCUGACCUCCUGCCAACCGACUACCACUUCUUCAAACAUUUCAACAGCUUUUUGCAAGGAAAAUGCUUCCACAACCAGCAGGAGGCAGAAAAUGCUUUCCAAGAGUUCAUUGAAUCGUGAAGCACAGAUUUUUAUGCUGCAGGAAUAAACAAACUUAUUUUUCAUUGGCAAAAAA